GCACUGCUGAGGAGUCCCAUGAUGGGACGAAACGGCCGUCCAGUGU
rfam:Schistosoma mansoni strain Puerto Rico chromosome 1, complete genome